AGAGUUUGAUCCUGGCUCAGGAUGAACGCUAGCGGCAGGCUUAAUACAUGCAAGUCGAGGGGCAACAGGGGUAGCAAUACCUGCUGGCGACCGGCAAACGGGUGCGGAACACGUACAGAACCUUCCUUUAAGCGGGGAAUAGCCCGGAGAAAUCCGGAUUAAUACCCCAUAGUAAUAUUUGGUGGCAUCACUUGAAUAUUUAAAGAUUUAUCACUUAAAGAUGGCUGUGCGUCUGAUUAGGUAGUUGGUGCGGGUAACGGCCCACCAAGCCAUCGAUCAGUAACUGGUGUGAGAGCACGACCAGUCACACGGGCACUGAGACACGGGCCCGACUCCUACGGGAGGCAGCAGUAAGGAAUAUUGGUCAAUGGACGCAAGUCUGAACCAGCCAUGCCGCGUGAAGGAUGAAGGCCCUCUGGGUUGUAAACUUCUUUUAUCUGGGAAGAAACCACUUUUUUAUAAAGGUGUUGACGGUACCAGAGGAAUAAGCACCGGCUAACUCCGUGCCAGCAGCCGCGGUAAUACGGAGGGUGCAAGCGUUAUCCGGAUUCACUGGGUUUAAAGGGUGCGUAGGUGGGAAUGUAAGCCAGUGGUGAAAUCUCCGUGCUUAACAUGGAAACUGCCAUUGAUACUAUAUUUCUUGAAUCUUCCGGAGGUCAGCGGAAUAUGUCAUGUAGCGGUGAAAUGCUUAGAUAUGACAUAGAACACCAAUUGCGAAGGCAGCUGACUACAGGAGCAUUGACACUGAGGCACGAAAGCGUGGGGAUCAAACAGGAUUAGAUACCCUGGUAGUCCACGCCCUAAACUAUGGAUACUCGACAUUUGUGAUACACAUAGUGU
rnacentral:rRNA from 1 species